AGGACGAACGCUGGCGGCGUGCUUAACACAUGCAAGUCACGGGGGCCCGCAAGGGCAACCGGCGAACGGGUGCGUAACACGUGAGCAACCUGCCGAUCUGUGGGGGAUAGCCGGGCUAACGCCCGGGUAAUACCGCAUACGGUUGCCGAGGGGAGUCCCUUGGCAAAGAAACCUCCGGGGCAGAUCGAGGGGCUCGCGGCCUAUCAGCUAGUUGGGGGGGUAAUGGCCCACCAAGGCGACGACGGGUAGCU
rnacentral:rRNA from 1 species